AACGAACGCUGGCGGCAGGCCUAACACAUGCAAGUCGAGCGAGGACUUCGGUCCUAGCGGCGGACGGGUGAGUAACGCGUGGGAACGUGCCCCUUGGUACGGAAUAGCCCCGGGAAACUGGGAGUAAUACCGUAUGAGCUCUACGGAGGAAAGAUUUAUCGCCAAGGGAUCGGCCCGCGUUGGAUUAGGUAGUUGGUGGGGUAAUGGCCUACCAAGCCGACGAUCCAUAGCUGGUUUGAGAGGAUGAUCAGCCACACUGGGACUGAGACACGGCCCAGACUCCUACGGGAGGCAGCAGUGGGGAAUAUUGGACAAUGGGCGCAAGCCUGAUCCAGCCAUGCCGCGUGAGUGAUGAAGGCCUUAGGGUUGUAAAGCUCUUUCAGUAGGGAAGAUAAUGACGGUACCUACAGAAGAAGCCCCGGCUAACUUCGUGCCAGCCGCCGCGGUAAAAC
rnacentral:rRNA from 1 species